UUGGAGGGCAAGUCUGGUGCCAGCAGCCGCGGUAAUUCCAGCUCCAAUAGCGUAUAUUAAAGUUGUUGCAGUUAAAAAGCUCGUAGUUGAAUUUCGGAAUCUGUCCGUCGGUCGGGCUUCACUGUCCGUACUGGUGUGAUGGGUUUCUACCUUCUGAAUAACCGGCAUGUCAUUAAUUUGGUGCGCCGGGGAAGCAGAACUAUUACCUUGAAAAAAUUAGAGUGCUUAAAGCAGGCUAUCGCCUGAAUAGAUUAGCAUGGAAUAAUAAAAUAGGACGGCAUGGUUCUAUUUUGUUGGUUUCUAGGAUCACCGUAAUGAUUAAUAGGGAUAGUUGGGGGCAUUAGUAUUCAAUUGUCAGAGGUGAAAUUCUUGGAUUUAUUGAAGACUAACUUCCGCGAAAGCAUUUGCCAAGGAUGGUUUCAUUAAUCAAGAACGAAAGUUAGGGGAUCGAAGACGAUCAGAUACCGUCGUAGUCUUAACCAUAAACUAUGCCGACUAGGGAUCGGACGAUGUUAAUUUUUUAAUGACUCGUUCGGCGCCUUACGGGAAAC
rnacentral:rRNA from 1 species